rnacentral:sRNA from 2 species
AUAAAAGUUUUCUAGGGUUCCGCGAUAUUUAUAUAUCGGCAGGUCCGAGAGAAAACGCACAGCCUAAAGGUUGUGUCACGGAGGGAUAAAAGCCUGGGAGAU